UACGGGAGGCAGCAGUGGGGAAUAUUGCACAAUGGGCGCAAGCCUGAUGCAGCCAUGCCGCGUGUAUGAAGAAGGCCUUCGGGUUGUAAAGUACUUUCAGUCGUGAGGAAGGUGUUAAGGUUAAUAACCUUAGCAAUUGACGUUAGCGACAGAAGAAGCACCGGCUAACUCCGUGCCAGCAGCCGCGGUAAUACGGAGGGUGCGAGCGUUAAUCGGAAUUACUGGGCGUAAAGGGCACGCAGGCGGUUAAUUAAGUUGGAUGUGAAAUCCCCGGGCUUAACCUGGGAAUGGCAUUCAAGACUGGUUAGCUAGAGUCUUGUAGAGGGGGUAGAAUUCCAUGUGUAGCGGUGAAAUGCGUAGAGAUGUGGAGGAAUACCGGUGGCGAAAGGCGGCCCCCUGGACAAAGGACUGACGCUCAUGUGCGAAAGCGUGGGGAGCAAAC
rnacentral:rRNA from 1 species